rnacentral:rRNA from 1 species
GUUAGGAAUAUUGGACAAUGGGCGAAAGCCUGAUCCAGCCAUGCCGCGUGAGUGAUGAAGGCCUUAGGGUUGUAAAGCUCUUUUGUCCGGGAAGAUAAUGACUGUACCGGAAGAAUAAGCCCCGGCUAACUUCGUGCCAGCAGCCGCGGUAAUACGAAGGGGGCUAGCGUUGCUCGGAAUCACUGGGCGUAAAGGGCGCGUAGGCGGACUUUUAAGUCGGAGGUGAAAGCCCAGGGCUCAACCCUGGAAUUGCCUUCGAUACUGGGAGUCUUGAGUUCGGAAGAGGUUGGUGGAACUGCGAGUGUAGAGGUGAAAUUCGUAGAUAUUCGCAAGAACACCGGUGGCGAAGGCGGCCAACUGGUCCGAAACUGACGCUGAGGCGCGAAAGCGUGGGGAGCAAACAGGAUUAGAAACCCUAGUAGUCC